AUUGAACGCUGGCGGCAGGCCUAACACAUGCAAGUCGAGCGGAGCGGCGGACGGGUGAGUAAUGCCUAGGGAUCUGCCUGCUAGUGGGGGAUAACGUCCGGCAACGGGCGCUAAUACCGCAUCCUAUACGAUAAGCCUAGGUCGGAUUAGCUAGUUGGUGGGGUAAAGGCCUACAAGGGCGAAGAUCCGUAACGGGUCUGAGAGGAUGAUCAGUCACACUGGAACUGAGACACGGUCCAGACUCCUACGGGAGGCAGAAGUGGGGAAUAUUGGACAAUGGGCGAAAGCCUGAUCCAGACAUGCCGCGUGUGUGAAGAAGGUCUUCGGAUUGUAAAGAACUGUAAGAUGGGAGGCGUUACCAACAGAGUAAGCACCGGCUAACUACGUGCCAGCAGCCGCGGUAAUAC
rnacentral:rRNA from 1 species